rnacentral:rRNA from 1 species
UACGAAGGGGGCUAGCGUUGUUCGGAAUCACUGGGCGUAAAGGGCGCGUAGGCGGCUUUUCAAGUCGGGGUGAAAGCCUGUGGCUCAACCACAGAAUUGCCUUCGAUACUGUUAGGCUUGAGACCGGAAGAGGUGAGUGGAACUGCGAGUGUAGAGGUGAAAUUCGUAGAUAUUCGCAAGAACACCAGUGGCGAAGGCGGACUCACUGGUCCGGUUCUGACGCUGAGGCGCGAAAGCGUGGGGAGCAAACAGG